rnacentral:rRNA from 1 species
UACAGAGGGUGCGAGCGUUAACCGGAAUUACUGGGCGUAAAGCGUGCGUAGACGGUUAUUUAAGUCGGAUGUGAAAGCCCCGGGCUCAACCUGGGAAUUGCAUUCGAGACUGAAUAGCUAGGGUACGGUAGAGGGAAGUGGAAUUUCCGGUGUAGCGGUGAAAUGCGUAGAUAUCGGAAGGAACAUCAGUGGCGAAAGCGACUUCCUGGACCAGUACCGACGUUCAGGCACGAAAGCGUGGGGAGCAAACAGG